rnacentral:misc_RNA from 1 species
AGAAAACUGCACAUAUUCUUUCUCUUUUUAUCAUCAAAAAAAUGAAAGGAGGACACUCAAUAAGCUUUUGAAAAGGUAUCCAUACAUCUCUCAAACCAUUGCUCUCUCUCUCUAAACAAAAAAGAUACCAGAUCUGAUUUAGUCUUUGGGAGAGGUCCGGCUAAUUGGCUGUCGACCCUCCCCUAUCUUCUCUUUAGUUAAAGCUCCUUAGAUAAUGUUUUAACUGUUUUUUCUUUUUUCAUUAGUCUCCACUGUUGGAGUUUAGUACCCUCUUAGGAUGGGUUUUUGUUGGUGUUUAGGGGGCUACUCUGCAUGUUGCAAUAUUCCCUGUGGUUUAUUGUGAAGCUUUAAAGAGCAGAUCAUCGGCUGGCAGUUAGUGUGGUACCGAGUUUGUCUUUCCGUCAAGGUGAGUAUGAAAGGCCUAUGUUUGCCAAGCCUAUUAUCGGUUCAUUCGGCACUAGUCCUAGUCCUUGAUAUUUCCUAGUUUUGUUGCAAAUCUCCUCCAUUUUUAUCUAAGCUCGAAAACAUAAGAGAAUUAUAAAAUGCAUGGUGUACUUAAGCACUCCUUGUAAUGUUGUUUUCAUUUUCCCAUGCUUUGUUGAGUUCUCAGAUCUUCUUUGGUGGUAGCAGUAAGUUAUUGAUGAAGAGGAGAUAAGUCGGCUGAGAAUGAUGAUGGAAUUGGGUCAUACCCGGUUAAGUUUUAAGGUUUCAUAUCUUUUAAGGUUUGGGUUUAGGUUGGAGUUUUGUAACACUCUUAUCUCUUGUGGGCUUAGGCCUUGUACUCUUAUUUUAUCUAAUAAAAUAUAUUUUCA